UCGAGAAUCAUUCGCAAUGGGCGAAAGCCUGACGGUGCGACGUCGCGUGGAGGAUGAAGGUCUUCGGAUUGUAAACUCCUGUCAUGUGGGAUAAAUGGCCGGGGCACGAAUAGUGCCUCGGAAUGAUAGUACCACAGGAGGAAGGGACGGCUAACUCUGUGCCAGCAGCCGCGGUAAUACAGAGGUCUCGAGCGUUGUUCGGAUAUACUGGGCGUAAAGGGAGCGUAGGCGGUUCGGUAUGUCGAAUGUGAAAGCCCACAACUCAACUGUGGAAAUGCAUUCGAAACUGCCGGGCUAGAGUACUGGAGAGGAGAGCGGAAUUCUUGGUGUAGCGGUGAAACGCGUAGAUAUCAAGAGGAACACCGGUGGCGAAGGCGGCUCUCUGGACAGAUACUGACGCUGAGGCUCUAAAGUUAGGGGAGCCAACAG
rnacentral:rRNA from 1 species